CCUACGGGUGGCAGCAGUGAGGAAUAUUGGUCAAUGGCCGGAAGGCUGAACCAGCCAUGCCGCGUGAAGGUCAGUGCCCUAUGGGCGUUAAACUUCUUUUGUGCGGGAGCAAUAAUGGUCACGUGUGGCCAGACGAGAGUACCGUACGAAUAAGCAUCGGCUAACUCCGUGCCAGCAGCCGCGGUAAUACGGGGGAUGCAAGCGUUAUCCGGAUUUAUUGGGGUUAAAGGGUGCGUAGGCUGUGAGGUAAGUCAGCGGUGAAAUGCCCACGCUCAAAGGGGUGAAGUGCCAUUGAUACUGCCUUGCUGGAAUGCGGAUGCCGUGAGAGGAAUGUGUGGUGUAGCGGUGAAAUGCAUAGAUAUCACACAGAACACCGAUUGCGAAGGCAUCUCACGAAUCCGCGAUUGACGCUGAUGCACGAAAGCGUGGGUAUCAAACAGGAUUAGAUACCCCAGUAGUC
rnacentral:rRNA from 1 species